CCGAUCCCAGCAAUCCCAACCUUGAUUCCCAUAUAUACAUAUUUUAAAAAAAUGUUUGGAGACUGGAUCUUGCUAUGUUGCCCAGGCCAGUUUCAAACUCCUGUCCUCAAGUGAUCCUCCUGCCUCAACCUCCUGAGUAGCUGGGACUACAGAUGUGCCACCAUGCCUGGCUUUGAUUCCCAUCUUGACCCUAACCUUGGCCCAGGUGGAAAAGACGUUCUGCUGCAUUCCACAGAAGGGAAAACAGGCAUAUGGAGGGAAGUGACUCAGCCAGGUUCAUGGAUGGAGUCAGCCACCAAGCCAGGAAUGGAGCUCUAUCCUCUGACUCUGAAACCACAGCCUUCACCACGGCAGUCACUCCUUUCCUCAAGAGGAAGCUUCAGCUCAUGCUCGCAGAUAUGGCCUUUGGACUCAACAGGUGCUACUGGCAUUGGGCAGUGGGGCUUUCUACCCCCGGUUCUUCCCACUCCAAUCCAGGAGACUACUGGCCUUCAAAUAUGGAUUUCAUGGUAC
rnacentral:lncRNA from 1 species